rnacentral:rRNA from 1 species
GACGAACGCUGGCGGCGUGCUUAACACAUGCAAGUCGAACGGAAAGGCCUGCUUUCCCUUGUGGAUUGCGGGUACUCGAGUGGCGAACGGGUGAGUAACACGUGAGUGAUCUGCCCCCAACUUGGGUAUAAGCCUGGGAAACUGGGUCUAAUUCCCGAUAGGACUGCAGGGUGGUGCCUGUGGUGGAAAACGAUUUUCUAGUGGUUGGGGAUGAGCUCGCGGCCUAUCAGCUUGUUGGUGGGGUAAUGGCCUACCAAGGCGGCGACGGGUAGCCGGCCUGAGAGGGUGGACGGUCACAUUGGGACUGAGAUACGGCCCAGACUCCUACGGGAGGCAGCAGUGGGGAAUAUUGCACAAUGGGCGGAAGCCUGAUGCAGCGACGCAGCGUGGGGGAUGACGGCCUUCGGGUUGUAAACUCCUUUCGACCGCGAGGAAGCCACCUGGUUGGAAGGGUGGUGACGGUAGUGGUAGAAGAAGCACCGGCUAACUACGUG